rnacentral:rRNA from 1 species
GACGAACGCUGGCGGCGUGCCUAAUACAUGCAAGUUGAGCGCUGAAGGUUGGUACUUGUACCGACUGGAUGAGCAGCGAACGGGUGAGUAACGCGUGGGGAAUCUGCCUUUGAGCGGGGGACAACAUUUGGAAACGAAUGCUAAUACCGCAUAAAAACUUUAAACACAAGUUUUAAGUUUGAAAGAUGCAAUUGCAUCACUCAAAGAUGAUCCCGCGUUGUAUUAGCUAGUUGGUGAGGUAAAGGCUCACCAAGGCGAUGAUACAUAGCCGACCUGGGAGGGUGAUCGGCCACAUUGGGACUGAGACACGGCCCGAACUCCUACGGGAGGCAGCAGUAGGGAAUCUUCGGCAAUGGACGAAAGUCUGACCGAGCAACGCCGCGUGAGUGAAGAAGGUUUUCGGAUCGUAAAACUCUGUUGGUAGAGAAGAACGUUGGUGAGAGUGGAAAGCUCAUCAAGUGACGGUAACUACCCAGAAAGGGACGGCUAACUACGUGCCAGCAGCCGCGGUAAAAC